AUGAAGAAAUGAAUAAUAAUGAUAAAGGGAUGAAAAUAAAUAAUAAUAAAUAAUGAAAAGAAUAAUUAUGUAUACUUUCUCUAAUUAAGAGUCUUGCUCGCGAGCAGUUUAAAACUUUCUUAAAUCGUUGAAGUGCAUUUUAUGCGUUUCUCUCUCACAGCUCGUAAUGAUGAUUCUUUUUUUUUUUUUUUUUUUUUUUUUUUUUUUUUUUUUUUUUUUUUUUUGAAAUUUAUAGUUAUGAAAGUAGUCAAGGCGUAGAGUCGUUAAUUUUUGCACGUCCGCGAAAACCUUUUCUUCUAAGAAAUUUACUAUAUACAAGAGAAAGCGCAUGCUGUCCAACCAACUCUCUCUCUCUCUCUCUUUCCUUCCUGCCUUUUCUCAGUUCUUUUCACACAGUACUUUGCAGAAACCGCUUAAGGCACUCGCCGCUUAAGAAACUCCUCGGAAAACUUUUCAGCCACAUCAUGAGAUGACAUAAUAUAAGUCGUGUCGUGUGCCUCUAUACACACGUCAAGAUUCUUUUUUUUCAACUUCUUUUUUAAACUCUCAUCAUGAAUCACGAUUAUAUUGUUAUAUCCAUAGAGAUACGUUUUUAUAACAAAAAAUCUCAUUUUCAAAGCAAUUUCUUUUUUUAUUACAUUCAAAAAGCUGUCUAAUUAAAAUCAAAGAAUUUAGAAGAAAAUUAAAACUCAGAGUAAACAAAGUGCUAUAUAAUUUAAACAUAUUUUUACUACUAGUUAAUCGUAAUUUGUCUGACUAGAACUGGUUUUUGCUACUGAGGUUAAAAUUAAAAAAAUUUGUCUGACAGUAAUUUAUUUCUACUACCUAUAUAACUACUGUUCAGUGUCUGAUUAAUACAUGCAUUUACUACUUCGAACAAAACGUAGGCUAUAUGUUUGACUGCAAAAUACUGUUACUACUAUUACAGAAAAAAAAGAUAGUUGGUCUGACUAAAAACAAAUUCUACUACUGCUUUGAAGAGUACAACAAUUCUGUCUGACUGCAACGUACUUUUACUACUUCUUUAAAAAUAACAGACAGUAGGUCUGACUUAAUACAACUUUAACUACUGUUACACUUUUGAGUGUAUUUUGUGCAAGAAAAUGCAAUAAAAUAGUCUGCCUAAGAAAAAUUGAAUUAUUUUGAAAAUUUUUUUUUUACGAAAAUCGCUUUUAUGGUCAUAAAAUUGGUGUUCCUCUACUCGGAUCGGGCUGUCAAUUUUUUUCUACACUUUUAGGUGUAUUUUGUGCAAGAAAAUGCAAUAAAAUAGUCUGCCUAAGAAAAAUUGAAUUUUUUUGAAAAUUUUUUUUUUACGAAAAUCGCUUUAAUGGUCAUAAAAUUGGUGUUCCUCUACUCGGAUCGGGCUGUCAAUUUUUUUCUACACUUUUAGGUGUAUUUUGUGCAAGAAAAUGCAAUAAAAUAGUCUGCCUAAGAAAAAUUGAAUUAUUUUGAAAAAUUUUUUUUUACGAAAAUCGCUUUAAUGGUCAUAAAAUUGGUGUUCCUCUACUCGGAUCGGGCUGUCAAUUUUUUUCUACACUUUUAGGUGUAUUUUGAGCAAGAAAAUGCAAUAAAAUAGUCUGCCUAAGAAAAAUUGAAUUAUUUUGAAAAAUUUUUUUUUACGAAAAACGCUAUAAUGGUCAUAAUAGGGGUGUUCCUCUACUCCGAUCGGGCUGUCAAUUUUUUUCUACACUUUUAGGUGUAUUUUGUGCAAGGAAAUGCAAUAAAAUAGUCUGCCUAAGAAAAAUUGAAUUAUUUUGAAAAUUUUUUUUUUACGAAAAACGCUAUAAUGGUCAUAAUAGGGGUGUUCCUCUACUCCGAUCGGGCUGUCAAUUUUUUUCUACACUUUUAGGUGUAUUUUGUGCAAGAAAAUGCAAUAAAAUAGUCUGCCUAAGAAAAAUGGAAUUAUUUUGAAAUUUUUUUUUUACGAAAAUCGCUUUAAUGGUCAUAAAAUUGGUGUUCCUCUACUCGGAUCAGGCUGUCAAUUUUUUUCUACACUUUUAGGUGUAUUUUGUGCAAGAAAAUGCAAUAAAAUAGUCUGCCUAAGAAAAAUUGAAUUUUUUUGAAAAUUUUUUUUUUACGAAAAUCGCUUUAAUGGUCAUAAAAUUGGUGUUCCUCUACUCGGAUCGGGCUGUCAAUUUUUUUCUACACUUUUAGGUGUAUUUUGUGCAAGAAAAUGCAAUAAAAUAGUCUGCCUAAGAAAAAUUGAAUUAUUUUGAAAAAUUUUUUUUUACGAAAAUCGCUUUAAUGGUCAUAAAAUUGGUGUUCCUCUACUCGGAUCGGGCUGUCAAUUUUUUUCUACACUUUUAGGUGUAUUUUGAGCAAGAAAAUGCAAUAAAAUAGUCUGCCUAAGAAAAAUUGAAUUAUUUUGAAAAUUUUUUUUUUACGAAAAUCGCUUUAAUGGUCAUAAAAUUGGUGUUCCUCUACUCCGAUCGGGCUGUUAAUUUUUUUCUACACUUUUAGGUGUAUUUUGUGCAAGAAAAUGCAAUAAAAUAGUCUGCCUAAGAAAAAUUGAAUUAUUUUGAAAAAUUUUUUUUUACGAAAAUCGCUUUAAUGGUCAUAAAAUUGGUGUUCCUCUACUCGGAUCGGGCUGUCAAUUUUUUUCUACACUUUUAGGUGUAUUUUGUGCAAGAAAAUGCAAUAAAAUAGUCUGCCUAAGAAAAAUUGAAUUUUUUUGAAAAUUUUUUUUUUACGAAAAUCGCUUUAAUGGUCAUAAAAUUGGUGUUCCUCUACUCGGAUCGGGCUGUCAAUUUUUUUCUACACUUUUAGGUGUAUUUUGUGCAAGAAAAUGCAAUAAAAUAGUCUGCCUAAGAAAAAUUGAAUUAUUUUGAAAAAUUUUUUUUUACGAAAAUCGCUUUAAUGGUCAUAAAAUUGGUGUUCCUCUACACGGAUCGGGCUGUUAAUUUUUUUCUACACUUUUAGGUGUAUUUUGUGCAAGAAAAUGCAAUAAAAUAGUCUGCCUAAGAAAAAUUGAAUUAUUUUGAAAAAUUUUUUUUUACGAAAAUCGCUUUAAUGGUCAUAAAAUUGGUGUUCCUCUACUCCGAUCGGGCUGUCAAUUUUUUUCUACACUUUUAGGUGUAUUUUGUGCAAGAAAAUGUAAUAAAAUAGUCUGCCUAAGAAAAAUUGAAUUAUUUUGAAAAAAUUUUUUUUACGAAAAUCGCUUUAAUGGUCAUAAAAUUGGUGUUCCUCUACUCGGAUCGGGCUGUCAAUUUUUUUCUACACUUUUAGGUGUAUUUUGUGCAAGAAAAUGCAAAAAAAUAGUCUGCCUAAGAAAAAUUGAAUUAUUUUGAAAUUUUUUUUUUACGAAAAUCGCUUUAAUGGUCAUAAAAUUGGUGUUCCUCUACUCGGAUCAGGCUGUCAAUUAUUUUCUACACUUUUAGGUGUAUCUUGUGCAAGAAAAUGCAAUAAAAUAGUCUGCCUAAGAAAAAUUGGAUUAUUUUGAAAAAAUUUUUUUUACGAAAAUCGCUUAAAUGGUCAUAAAAUUGGUGUUCCUCUACACGGAUCGGGCUGUUAAUUUUUUUCUACACUUUUAGGUGUAUUUUGUGCAAGAAAAUGCAAUAAAAUAGUCUGCCUAAGAAAAAUUGAAUUAUUUUGAAAAAUUUUUUUUUACGAAAAACGCUAUAAUGAUCAUAAUAGGGGUGUUCCUCUACUCGGAUCGGGCUGUCAAUUUUUUUCUACACUUUUAGGUGUAUUUUGUGCAAGAAAAUGCAAUAAAAUAGUCUGCCUAAGAAAAAUUGAAUUAUUUUGAAAAAUUUUUUUUUACGAAAAUCGCUUUAAUGGUCAUAAAAUUGGUGUUCCUCUACUCCGAUCGGGCUGUCAAUUUUUUUCUACACUUUUAGGUGUAUUUUGUGCAAGAAAAUGCAAUAAAAUAGUCUGCCUAAGAAAAAUUGGAUUAUUUUGAAAAAUUUUUUUUUACGAAAAUCGCUUUAAUGGUCAUAAAAUUGGUGUUCCUCUACACGGAUAGGGCUGUUAAUUUUUUUCUACACUUUUAGGUGUAUUUUGUGCAAGAAAAUGCAAUAAAAUAGUCUGCCUAAGAAAAAUUGAAUUAUUUUGAAAAAUUUUUUUUUACGAAAAUCGCUUUAAUGGUCAUAAUAGGGGUGUUCCUCUACUCGGAUCGGGCUGUCAAUUUUUUUCUACACUUUUAGGUGUAUUUUGUGCAAGAAAAUGCAAUAAAAUAGUCUGCCUAAGAAAAAUUGAAUUAUUUUGAAAUUUUUUUUUUACGAAAAUCGCUUUAAUGGUCAUAAAAUUGGUGUUCCUCUACUCCGAUCGGGCUGUCAAUUUUUUUCUACACUUUUAGGUGUAUUUUGUGCAAGAAAAUGCAAUAAAAUAGUCUGCCUAAGAAAAAUUGAAUUAUUUUGAAAUUUUUUUUUUACGAAAAUCGCUUUAAUGGUCAUAAAAUUGGUGUUCCUCUACUCGGAUCGGGCUGUCAAUUUUUUUCUACACUUUUAGGUGUAUUUUGUGCAAGAAAAUGCAAUAAAAUAGUCUGCCUAAGAAAAAUUGAAUUUUUUGAAAAAUUUUUUUUUUACGAAAAUCGCUUUAAUGGUCAUAAAAUUGGUGUUCCUCUACUCGGAUCGGGCUGUCAAUUUUUUUCUACACUUUUAGGUGUAUUUUGAGCAAGAAAAUGCAAUAAAAUAGUCUGCCUAAGAAAAAUUGAAUUAUUUUGAAAAAUUUUUUUUUACGAAAAUCGCUUUAAUGGUCAUAAUAGGGGUGUUCCUCUACUCCGAUCGGGCUGUCAAUUUUUUUCUACACUUUUAGGUGUAUUUUGAGCAAGAAAAUGCAAUAAAAUAGUCUGCCUAAGAAAAAUUGAAUUAUUUUGAAAAAUUUUUUUUUACGAAUAACGCUAUAAUGGUCAUAAUAGGGGUGUUCCUCUACUCCGAUCGGGCUGUCAAUUUUUUUCUACACUUUUAGGUGUAUUUUGUGCAAGAAAAUGCAAUAAAAUAGUCUGCCUAAGAAAAAUUGAAUUAUUUUGAAAUUUUUUUUUUACGAAAAUCGCUUUAAUGGUCAUAAAAUUGGUGUUCCUCUACUCCGAUCGGGCUGUCAAUUUUUUUCUACACUUUUAGGUGUAUUUUGUGCAAGAAAAUGCAAUAAAAUAGUCUGCCUAAGAAAAAUUGAAUUAUUUUGAAAUUUUUUUUUUACGAAAAUCGCUUUAAUGGUCAUAAAAUUGGUGUUCCUCUACUCGGAUCGGGCUGUCAAUUUUUUUCUACACUUUUAGGUGUAUUUUGUGCAAGAAAAUGCAAUAAAAUAGUCUGCCUAAGAAAAAUUGAAUUAUUUUGAAAAUUUUUUUUUUACGAAAAUCGCUUUAAUGGUCAUAAAAUUGGUGUUCCUCUACUCGGAUCGGGCUGUCAAUUUUUUUCUACACUUUUAGGUGUAUUUUGAGCAAGAAAAUGCAAUAAAAUAGUCUGCCUAAGAAAAAUUGAAUUAUUUUGAAAAAUUUUUUUUUACGAAAAUCGCUUUAAUGGUCAUAAUAGGGGUGUUCCUCUACUCGGAUCGGGCUGUCAAUUUUUUUCUACACUUUUAGGUGUAUUUUGUGCAAGAAAAUGCAAUAAAAUAGUCUGCCUAAGAAAAAUUGAAUUAUUUUGAAAAUUUUUUUUUACGAAAAUCGCUUUAAUGGUCAUAAAAUUGGUGUUCCUCUACUCGGAUCGGGCUGUCAAUUUUUUUCUACACUUUUAGGUGUAUUUUGUGCAAGAAAAUGCAAUAAAAUAGUCUGCCUAAGAAAAAUUGAAUUAUUUUGAAAAAUUUUUUUUUACGAAAAUCGCUUUAAUGGUCAUAAAAUUGGUGUUCCUCUACUCGGAUCGGGCUGUCAAUUUUUUUCUACACUUUUAGGUGUAUUUUGUGCAAGAAAAUGCAAUAAAAUAGUCUGCCUAAGAAAAAUUGAAUUAUUUUGAAAAUUUUUUUUUACGAAAAUCGCUUUAAUGGUCAUAAAAUUGGUGUUCCUCUACUCGGAUCGGGCUGUCAAUUUUUUUCUACACUUUUAGGUGUAUUUUGUGCAAGAAAAUGCAAUAAAAUAGUCUGCCUAAGAAAAAUUGAAUUAUUUUGAAAAUUUUUUUUUACGAAAAUCGCUUUAAUGGUCAUAAAAUUGGUGUUCCUCUACUCCGAUCGGGCUGUCAAUUUUUUUCUACACUUUUAGGUGUAUUUUGUGCAAGAAAAUGCAAUAAAAUAGUCUGCCUAAGAAAAAUUGAAUUAUUUUGAAAAUUUUUUUUUACGAAAAUCGCUUUAAUGGUCAUAAAAUUGGUGUUCCUCUACUCGGAUCGGGCUGUCAAUUUUUUUCUACACUUUUAGGUGUAUUUUGUGCAAGAAAAUGCAAUAAAAUAGUCUGCCUAAGAAAAAUUGAAUUAUUUUGAAAAUUUUUUUUUUACGAAAAUCGCUUUAAUGGUCAUAAAAUUGGUGUUCCUCUACUCCGAUCGGGCUGUCAAUUUUUUUCUACACUUUUAGGUGUAUUUUGUGCAAGAAAAUGCAAUAAAAUAGUCUGCCUAAGAAAAAUUGAAUUAUUUUGAAAAAUUUUUUUUUACGAAAAUCGCUUUAAUGGUCAUAAUAGUGGUGUUCCUCUACUCCGAUCGGGCUGUCAAUUUUUUUCUACACUUUUAGGUGUAUUUUGUGCAAGAAAAUGCAAUAAAAUAGUCUGCCUAAGAAAAAUUGAAUUAUUUUGAAAAUUUUUUUUUUACGAAAAUCGCUUUAAUGGUCAUAAUAGGGGUGUUCCUCUACUCCGAUCGGGCUGUCAAUUUUUUUCUACACUUUUAGGUGUAUUUUGUGCAAGAAAAUGCAAUAAAAUAGUCUGCCUAAGAAAAAUUGAAUUAUUUUGAAAAUUUUUUUUUACGAAAAUCGCUUUAAUGGUCAUAAAAUUGGUGUUCCUCUACUCGGAUCGGGCUGUCAAUUUUUUUCUACACUUUUAGGUGUAUUUUGUGCAAGAAAAUGCAAUAAAAUAGUCUGCCUAAGAAAAAUUGAAUUAUUUUGAAAAUUUUUUUUUACGAAAAUCGCUUUAAUGGUCAUAAAAUUGGUGUUCCUCUACUCGGAUCGGGCUGUCAAUUUUUUUCUACACUUUUAGGUGUAUUUUGUGCAAGAAAAUGCAAUAAAAUAGUCUGCCUAAGAAAAAUUGAAUUAUUUUGAAAAUUUUUUUUUUACGAAAAUCGCUUUAAUGGUCAUAAAAUUGGUGUUCCUCUACUCCGAUCGGGCUGUCAAUUUUUUUCUACACUUUUAGGUGUAUUUUGUGCAAGAAAAUGCAAUAAAAUAGUCUGCCUAAGAAAAAUUGAAUUAUUUUGAAAAUUUUUUUUUACGAAAAUCGCUUUAAUGGUCAUAAUAGGGGUGUUCCUCUACUCCGAUCGGGCUGUCAAUUUUUUUCUACACUUUUAGGUGUAUUUUGUGCAAGGAAAUGCAAUAAAAUAGUCUGCCUAAGAAAAAUUGAAUUAU